CCUACGGGCGGCAGCAGUGGGGAAUAUUGGACAAUGGGCGAAAGCCUGAUCCAGCCAUGCCGCGUGUGUGAAGAAGGCCUUCGGGUUGUAAAGCACUUUCAGUGGGGAAGAAAGCCUUGGGGCUAAUACCCUCGAGGAAGGACAUCACCCACAGAAGAAGCACCGGCUAACUCCGUGCCAGCAGCCGCGGUAAUACGGAGGGUGCGAGCGUUAAUCGGAAUUACUGGGCGUAAAGCGCGCGUAGGCGGUCUGAUAAGCCGGUUGUGAAAGCCCCGGGCUCAACCUGGGAACGGCAUCCGGAACUGUCAGGCUAGAGUGCAGGAGAGGAAGGUAGAAUUCCCGGUGUAGCGGUGAAAUGCGUAGAGAUCGGGAGGAAUACCAGUGGCGAAGGCGGCCUUCUGGACUGACACUGACGCUGAGGUGCGAAAGCGUGGGUAGCAAACAGGAUUAGAUAACCCGGUAGUC
rnacentral:rRNA from 1 species